AGCUCAGACCAUACCAUUCUGAAAGUGCCUGCUCCUGUUUGAUGCUAGAAGCCAAGCAGGGUUGGGCCUGGUUAAUACUUGGCGAGACAAAUAAUAAUGGAAACAUUUAUGUGUGCAC
rnacentral:rRNA from 1 species